UACGUAGGUCCCGAGCGUUGUCCGGAUUUACUGGGCGUAAGGGCGUGCAGCCGGGAAGACAAGUCAGAUGUGAAAUCCCGCGGCUCAACCGCGGAACUGCAUUUGAAACUGUUUUUCUUGAGUACCGGAGAGGUCAUCGGAAUUCCUUGUGUAGCGGUGAAAUGCGUAGAUAUAAGGAAGAACACCAGUGGCGAAGGCGGAUGACUGGACGGCAACUGACGGUGAGGCGCGAAAGCGUGGGGAGCAAACAGG
rnacentral:rRNA from 1 species